CAGUCAGGUGGAAAGUGAUUUUCUUCUCUGCAGCUUGAAGAAUCGUUAAGACCCGCUGAAGGCCCUAAAGCCGGUCCUAGUAACUGAGACAUUUAGGAUGAUCUUUAUGGAGUUUCGCAGGAGCUUCUGCCUUCUGCUCUUAGAAGAAGAGUUAAUAAGCUUUCACUGACUCUUUAUUUUUAUUUAUUUAUGUUUUUUUUUUUAAAAAAAAACUAAGCCAAAAAAAGCGCCUGUUUAAGUUAAGUACCACCUCCCUCUAGCUCUUGGGAAUCCACUCAAGUGGGCUUUGCUUGGCUCUGUGUUCAUGACACAUAAUGAAAACAAUUUUACGCUGUGGAGGGAAGUAUUGGGCAAUUACUGAUGUAACAGCCACCUGCAGUAGCGAGCCCUGGCUGCAGCAUCGUGUGGUUCAUGAAUAUUUGAUGGUGUGAUGUUAUUUUGAAUGGCUGGGGCAGGUGAAGGGGGCCGAGGGUGUAAUAAACGACUCUGCUGGAGGCUGUGUCCCUACUCUGUUUCCCUGCAGGGCCCACAGUGUAACACCAAGAAGCAUCCUGACCCCGCUUGGAUGGAGGCAAGGGCCGCUAAGCCUGAGGCAAGAUGCUAUGACAAGUCACGGAAACUACAAGGAGGGAAAGAAAGGAGACCUGGAGACCUGACUUCACAGCCAAAUCUCUAACCUUACCACCCCUGUUCCUGUCCCCUGCGUCUCUGGAUGAUAACACCUUGUGACCAGAGGGGACACUCAGCUAGUACCCCAAUGUAAAGAAAAGAAAGGGAACAGAUGUCACUGUAAAAUCCACGGAGGCAUUGCUCCUUUCAAAUCAUACCAAGGAAAAGCGCCAACCACCAAACCUAGGAUCAUUAAAAACAUAACACAGGCCUUAUCAUAAAAGACCACAGAAAAAAAUUUGUCUCGACUGAAGCAGUUUGAUAGAAAUACUUAACUCGGUUAUUACUGAAGCUCAAGAAAUACUCUAGAAGGAAGAAUUACAGAUUUAUUUUAAAAAUAAAUAUAUUAUUACAUUCAA